CUCUGGUAUAACUACUAUUCAUCACUGUUUUCUGUUACAGGAAACUAAUCAAAGAGCUGGAACUGGAGGGAAAGGUGACCACAGCACAAAUUGGCAAAAAAUGGGAAAAUCGUAAAAAAAAAAUAUAAGAACAUAAUCGACCCUCCAUCCUCACCGGUGUCCUCUCUGACAAAUUCAGAGGAAAGCACAGAGAACACUUUGGAAGACGCCAGCACAUCGGCCUCAAGCUCUGCCUCACCAGCUGGAAGAGGAAGCUGGAAGCUUCAGGCAUCAGGUCCACUUUCCCCCCGAUCCCCCCAAAAAAAGAAACUCUCUAUGCAGGACUUCCUUCAAGCUGAGGCCGCCAAACAAGACAGAAGAUGUCAAAAAAAUGAAGAACACAUGGACAGGUUCCUGAACCUUUUAGAGAAAAUGGUGGACCAGAC